UACGUAGGGAGCAAGCGUUGUCCGGAAUCAUUGGGCGUAAAGGGCGCGUAGGCGGCUCGGCACGUCCGUUGUGAAAUCGCCCGGCUCAACUGGGCGGGGUCGGCGGAUACGGCCGAGCUGGAGCAAGCUAGGGGGUAAUGGAAUUCCCGGUGUAGUGGUGGAAUGCGUAGAUAUCGGGAGGAACACCAGUGGCGAAGGCGGCUCACUGGACCGGUACUGACGCUGAGGCGCGAAAGCGUGGGGAGCAAACGGG
rnacentral:rRNA from 1 species